GCCUGUGAAUGUAUCAUGCGCUGAGCUGUCUUCCCAGUCCAAACGCCCUUCUCACUCAUGAGGCCACACCUGGGACACAGGACACCUGUGUGAGUGGGCGCAGACUGGAGGGAGUCAGCGUGCCCCUGGUCUGUCGGGUCAGCAGCUGUGGAUUUGCCUUCUGAUGGCAAGCGAGGCGAUGUUCAUUAAGGCAGACCGUGGGCGCUUCAACAGCCUGUCCUCAGCCUAUGCUCCUAACCUCACAACCUUGAGUGAAUGCGAUGCGGACAGAGCACAUCUUAUUACUGGACGCUAAGGAUUUGGGGUUUGUUUGUUAAUCGCACCGAUGAGUACAGGACGGAAGAAAAUGGAAGAGAAAAGAGAUGCUGUAGUAGAGAACAUGCUUCUCCCUCCGGAAGACGCCUGGGCUGUCUGACUCAUCUGUGCAGGUUUCAGAGCAAGCGCGUGGUUGAUAAAUGCUGGAGACCCCAGCGGUACAGCUGGAACGCAGCGCCACGGAAAACACCGCUGACAUACGAGCUUGGGAGCCAGAGAAGCUGGCUGUGACGGAGAUGACGAAACUUGGGUAGAAAUGCUUCCUGCAACUGUAGACGUGAUGAGUCCAGGCAAGGUGCCUGCGCUGUGGGGUAUUUAGGAAUGGGGCCUGUCAGCUUUCGUGGUGUCUUUAUACUGUCUUUCAUGAUGCUGACCGACCUCACGCUGUCAAACCUCUUCCAUGCUAAUUAAAGCUCUCAAUAAUCUCCAUUCCAAGA